UACGUAGGGGGCAAGCGUUGUCCGGAAUUAUUGGGCGUAAAGAGCGCGUAGGCGGUCCGAUAAGUCGGCUGUGAAAGUCAGGGGCUCAACCCUUGAAAGCCGGCCGGUACUGUCGGACUAGAGUCCGGAAGAGGCAAGUGGAAUUCCCGGUGUAGCGGUGAAAUGCGCAGAUAUCGGGAGGAACACCAAUGGCGAAGGCAGCUUGCUGGGACGGUACUGACGCUGAGGCGCGAAAGCGUGGGGAGCAAACAGG
rnacentral:rRNA from 1 species